rnacentral:pre_miRNA from 1 species
CAUGCACCAGUGGGGUCCCUCGACCUGGCCUGCAUCCUCUUGUAAUGUGGGACCCCUUGGGGAAUGUCAGAGAGCUGGUUUCAGCCCAAUCCCGCAGGCCAGGUCGAGGGACCCCACUGGUGCAUG